rnacentral:rRNA from 1 species
GACGAACGCUGGCGGCGUGCUUAACACAUGCAAGUCGAACGGUAAGGCCCUUCGGGGUAUACGAGUGGCGAACGGGUGAGUAACACGUGGGUGAUCUGCCCUGCACUUCGGGAUAAGCCUGGGAAACUGGGUCUAAUACCGGAUAGGACUCCGGACUGCAUGGUCUGGGGUGGAAAGCUUUUGCGGUGUGGGAUGGGCCCGCGGCCUAUCAGCUUGUUGGUGGGGUGAUGGCCUACCAAGGCGACGACGGGUAGCCGGCCUGGGAGGGUGACCGGCCACACUGGGACUGAGAUACUGCCCAGACUCCUACGGGAGGCAGCAGCGGGGAAUAUUGCACAAUGGGCGCAAGCCUGAGGCAGCGACGCCGCGUGAGGGAUGACGGCCUUCGGGUUGUAAACCUCUUUCAGCGCAGACGAAGCGCAAGUGACGGUAUGUGCAGAAGAAGGACCGGCCAACUACGUGCCAGCCGCCGCCGUAA